rnacentral:rRNA from 4 species
GUCCCGCAACGAGCGCAACCCUUAUCCUUUGUUGCCAGCGGUCCGGCCGGGAACUCAAAGGAGACUGCCAGUGAUAAACUGGAGGAAGGUGGGGAUGACGUCAAGUCAUCAUGGCCCUUACGACCAGGGCUACACACGUGCUACAAUGGCGCAUACAAAGAGAAGCGACCUCGCGAGAGCAAGCGGACCUCAUAAAGUGCGUCGUAGUCCGGAUUGGAGUCUGCAACUCGACUCCAUGAAGUCGGAAUCGCUAGUAAUCGUGGAUCAGAAUGCCACGGUGAAUACGUUCCCGGGCCUUGUACACACCGCCCGUCACACCAUGGGAGUGGGUUGCAAAAGAAGUAGGUAGCUUAACCUUCGGGAGGGCGCUUACCACUUUGUGAUUCAUGACUGGGGUGAAGUCGUAACAAGGUAACCGUAGGGGAACCUGC